UACGGAGGGUGCAAGCGUUAUCCGGAUUCACUGGGUUUAAAGGGUGCGUAGGCGGAUAGGUAAGUCCUUGGUGAAAUCCUGCAGCUUAACUGCAGAACUGCCGUGGAUACUAUCUAUCUUGAAUGUCGUGGAGGUUAGCGGAAUAUGUCAUGUAGCGGUGAAAUGCUUAGAUAUGACAUAGAACACCCAUUGCGAAGGCAGCUAACUACGCGAUAAUUGACGCUGAUGCACGAAAGCGUGGGGAUCAAACAGG
rnacentral:rRNA from 1 species